GAUGAACGCUGACGGCGUGCCUAAUACAUGCAAGUCGAGCGAACGGACGAGAAGCUUGCUUCUCUGAUGUUAGCGGCGGACGGGUGAGUAACACGUGGAUAACCUACCUAUAAGACUGGGAUAACUUCGGGAAACCGGAGCUAAUACCGGAUAAUAUUUUGAACCGCAUGGUUCAAAAGUGAAAGACGGUCUUGCUGUCACUUAUAGAUAGAUCCGCGCUGCAUUAGCUAGUUGGUAAGGUAACGGCUUACCAAGGCAACGAUGCAUAGCCGACCUGAGAGGUUGAUCGGCCACACUGGAACUGAGCCACGGUCCAGACUCCUACGGGAGGCAGCAGUAGGGAAUCUUCCGCAAUGGGCGAAAGCCUGACGGAGCAACGCCGCGUGAGUGAUGAGGGUCUUCGGAUCGUAAAACUCUGUUAUUAGGGAAGAACAUAUGUGUAAGUAACUGUGCACAUCUUGACGGUACCUAAUCAGAAAGCCACGGCUAACUACGUG
rnacentral:rRNA from 1 species